rnacentral:rRNA from 1 species
GACGAACGCUGGCGGCGUGCUUAACACAUGCAAGUCGAACGGAAAGGCCUGCUUUCCCUUGUGGAUUGCGGGUACUCGAGUGGCGAACGGGUGAGUAACACGUGAGUGAUCUGCCCCCAACUUGGGUAUAAGCCUGGGAAACUGGGUCUAAUUCCCGAUAGGACUGCAGGGUGGUGCCUGUGGUGGAAAACGAUUUUCUAGUGGUUGGGGAUGAGCUCGCGGCCUAUCAGCUUGUUGGUGGGGUAAUGGCCUACCAAGGCGGCGACGGGUAGCCGGCCUGAGAUGGUGGACGGCCACACUGGGACUGAGUCACGGCCCAGACUCCUACGGGAGGCAGCAGUGGGGAAUAUUGCACAAUGAGCGGAAGCCUGAUGCAGCGACGCCGCGUGGGGGAUGACGGCCUUCGGGUUGUCAACUCCUUUCGACCGCGAGGAAGCCACCUGGUUGGAAGGGUGGUGACGGUAGUGGUAGAAGAAGCACCGGCUAACUACGUG